UACGUAGGGUGCGAGCGUUAAUCGGAAUUACUGGGCGUAAAGCGUGCGCAGGCGGUUCGUUAAGUUCGUUGUGAAAGCCCCGGGCUCAACCUGGGAACUGCAAUGGAAACUGGCGGGCUUGAGUGUGGCAGAGGGGGGUGGAAUUCCGCGUGUAGCAGUGAAAUGCGUAGAGAUGCGGAGGAACACCGAUGGCGAAGGCAGCCCCCUGGGCCUGUACUGACGCUCAUGCACGAAAGCGUGGGGAGCAAACAGG
rnacentral:rRNA from 1 species